rnacentral:siRNA from 1 species
CAUUUUGUUAUUUGGAUGCUGCUC